rnacentral:lncRNA from 1 species
GUAGAUGAAAUUGGUGGUGUAAGGAAGGAUGACAAAGAUGUCAUAGAAGAAGAAGCAGCACCAAAAAACUAUGCAGAGCAAAGAAAAAAGAAAUUGCUAAAAAAACAAUGCAGGGAGAGUUUAAUGCGCACUGCAGAGGAUCAUAAGUGUUUAAUUGAAAAACUUAAAAGGGAGGUGAAUGACUUAGAGCAAGAGUUGGAGAAAGAGAAGGCCAAAAGAAGAAGUAAAAAGUCAACUUCAGAUGACGGUUUUCAGAGUGCUGGAUGUCCAGAAGCAGCAACUGACGAUGCAUUCGUUUCACCUGUUCGUUUUUCGGCCGAGGAAGCGGGUGGAAUGAGUAAUGACGGUUUUCAGAGUGCUGGAUGUCCACAAGCAACAACUGAUGUUGCAUUCGUUUCACCUGUUCGUUUGUCGGCCGAGGAAGGGGGUGGAAUGAGUAACAAUGAAGAAGGUCCAUUGUCGCCAGAUGCACCAGGUGGAAUGGCUGAGAAGCAAUCACAGCUCAGGACUUAUGUUAGGAUUGGUUCAAGAAGAAGAGUUAAGAGCAAAGCACUUAGGACACCUUACACAGGAAAUGUAUGAGUUAGAAAGACAAAGGAUUAACUAUUGUGUUAAGCUGGAACAAAAGUAUUUUGUAUUUAAACCUAGUAUUUGGUUCAAUAUGUAUAAGAUUGAUUUAUUU